UACGGAGGGUGCAAACGUUGCUCGGAAUCAUUGGGCGUAAAGCGCACGUAGGCGGCCUGUUAAGUCGGGUGUGAAAUCCCUCGGCCCAACCGAGGAAGUGCAUUCGAAACUGGCAGGCUUGAAUGUGGAAGAGGGUCGUGGAAUUCCCAGUGUAGAGGUGAAAUUCGUAGAUAUUCGCAAGAACACCAGUGGCGAAGGCGGCUCACUGGCCCGGUACUGACGCUGAGGUGCGAAAGCGUGGGGAGCAAACAGG
rnacentral:rRNA from 1 species